rnacentral:misc_RNA from 1 species
UUCGGCCAACCUCGCCUACGGGCGGGCCUACAAGCCGAUCCUCGACGAGCUUGGCCUGACCUAUACGCAGUACAUUGCAGUCGUCGCCUUGUGGGAAGACGACAACCAGACCGUCAGCAGUCUCGGCGAGAAGCUGUUUCUGGAUGGAAUCCAACACGCUGACGCCGAUCCUGAAGAAUCUCGAAGCGAUGGGUUAUGUCCGCCGCCAGCGCGAUCCCAGGGACGAGCGCCAGGUCCUGAUCAGCCUGACCGAUGCCGGCCGCCGUCUGCGGGAGAAAGCCCUGCCGAUGAAUCUGGUGAAGGAAUCGGCGCUGGCACCCGACGAUUUCGCAAAACUGCAAAAGGCC